UCAGAACGAACGCUGGCGGCAGGCUUAACACAUGCAAGUCGAACGCUCCGCAAGGAGAGUGGCAGACGGGUGAGUAACACGUGGGAACGUACCCUUUUACUACGGAACAACUCCGGGAAACUGGAGCUAAUACCGUAUGUGCCCUUCGGGGGAAAGAUUUAUCGGUAAAGGAUCGGCCCGCGUUGGAUUAGCUAGUUGGUGGGGUAAAGGCCUACCAAGGCGACGAUCCAUAGCUGGUCUGAGAGGAUGAUCAGCCACAUUGGGACUGAGACACGGCCCAAACUCC
rnacentral:rRNA from 1 species